AACGAAGGAAGUCCAUUCUUAGAUUCAAGAUGGAGGCUGGAGGGAGAAGAAACCUUUGGGGCAAUACGCAGUGUCUCAGGUUGCACAUGCACUGACCUGGCCUCUCCGCUGGGGCUGGUGCAGAAAGGCUUGCGGUGGUCAAGGAUGCCAAGGCUGGUUUGUAACAGGAAACCAGGUCAGAGCCCAUGUGUGGGGACUGGUUAAACCAGCACAGCCCAUGUCCCUUACUUGAACGACGAUGAUCUCUGACUGUGACCAAUGCGGUGUGGCGGACACAGCACUGUAGAUAGAGAUCAUCUUGUUAAUGUACUAAACGACGGCAAGGUGGUGAAUUCUCAUCCCACACACGGAGUCUAGAGGAACACGAGACAGUGUGACUCUGGGGGUAAAAGUCUCAGGCACAUCCGUUCCCCCCACACACCCAUGGGACCCGGUGUGGUACAGCAGACUUCAACAGCAGGACACUCUUCAAAUGACUACUCAAUUAUAGGCUGGAGGAACAAGAGCCCUGCUGCGCUGCGGGUCACUCUGACCUUGGAAAAUAUCUCACUCAACUUCCUUGAGGACUGGGAGGCACUGUCAAUUACUACAGUGAUGCAAGUUUUCACAGCACUAAACGAUGACUCAGAACCAGCUACGGGAACAUUAAACAAGCCCAAAGCCAUACUAGGACCCGGGACACACCCCCAAAAGAUGCCCUUCAAAUCAGACUAAGGCUCCUCUACCCAGGAGCCUGCACCACCAGCCCUGCGGAGCUCCAGCCCCAUCUCAGUGAGCUGAUGACCCCAAAGUUCAAGGUCUCCGUGGCGUGGACCUGCAGGCUCAGCAGCCCUGGACAGCCCUCUGGACAGGGGCAAAGGACAGAAACUGCAGCCAGUCCAGUCUCCAGAGGGCAGCAGGCCAGGCAGGCUGGGAGCACUGGCCAGGCACAGACCCCAGCAGGGACCUCAGCUCCCAGUGGCCAGUUUCUCCGUCCACCGUUUCUCUCACCUGAGCUCAACCGAAAAUGUGAAGUGGAAAUGCCAGAAAAAAAUCCUCUCCCAUCUCUGAUCCAUCUGGAAAACAUCUGGUUCCCGGGUACGGCAGGAUGCAGCGUCCCUGUCCCAGCCGGCUUCCCCAUCAUUCCGCCCAGCUCAGUGACUAAUCCUUUCUUCCCGGCCCAUGAGAAAUCGCUGUCCUCACCAAAACCCCAACUCCUGCCAGCGCCCUGGUGUUGAAGAGGAACAGCUAUGCGCCCCUGCCCCACAGUGGAUUGGCCCUGAGAUGUCCCUGCCUCAAGUGCAGCCCCAGGAGGAUGCUGGAUUCCGCUGGUGGAGGCGGCAGCCGCGGGGAACCCACGGUGCUGCUCAGGGCAGGGGCUCCAAACAUCCCAGCAGGAGAACGGAAGGCCCUGCGGUGGGGCAUUCUCAAAGCACCCAGCAUGCACGCCCC
rnacentral:lncRNA from 1 species